GACAGAGGGUGCAAACGUUUGUUCGGAAUUACUGGGGCGUAAAGCGAGUGUAGGCGGUCUGCUAAGUCGGGUGUGAAAGCCCCGGGCUCAACCCGGGGAAGUGCACUCGAAACUGGCAGGCUAGAGUGUCGGAGAGGUUGGUGGAAUUCUCGGUGUAGAGGUGAAAUUCGUAGAUAUCGAGAGGAACACCGGUGGCGAAGGCGGCCAACUGGACGAACACUGACGCUGAGACUCGAAAGCGUGGGGAGCAAACAGG
rnacentral:rRNA from 1 species